AGUGAACGCUGGCGGUAGGCCUAACACAUGCAAGUCGAACGGCAGCACAGGAGAGCUUGCUCUCUGGGUGGCGAGUGGCGGACGGGUGAGGAAUACAUCGGAAUCUACUCUGUCGUGGGGGAUAACGUAGGGAAACUUACGCUAAUACCGCAUACGACCUACGGGUGAAAGCAGGGGACCUUCGGGCCUUGCGCGAUUGAAUGAGCCGAUGUCGGAUUAGCUAGUUGGCGGGGUAAAGGCCCACCAAGGCGACGAUCCGUAGCUGGUCUGAGGGGAUGAUCAGCCACACUGGAACAGAGACACGGUCCAGACCCCUACGGGAGGCAGCAGUGGGGAAUAUUGGACAAUGGGCGCAAGCCUGAUCCAGCCAUACCGCGUGGGUGAAGAAGGCCUUCGGGUUGUAAAGCCCUUUUGUUGGGAAAGAAAUCCAGCUGGCUAAUACCCGGUUGGGAUGACGGUACCCAAAGAAUAAGCACCGGCUAACUUCGUGCCAGCCGCCGCCGUAA
rnacentral:rRNA from 1 species